rnacentral:rRNA from 1 species
UACGUAGGGGGCAAGCGUUGUCCGGAAUCAUUGGGCGCAAAGAGCGUGUAGGCGGCCCGGUAAGUCCGCUGUGAAAGUCAAGGGCUCAACCCUUGAAUGCCGGCGGAUACUGUCGGGCUAGAGUCCGGAAGAGGCGAGUGGAAUUCCUGGUGUAGCGGUGAAAUGCGCAGAUAUCAGGAGGAACACCUACGGCGAAGGCAGCUCGCUGGGACGGUACUGACGCUGAGACGCGAAAGCGUGGGGAGCAAACAGG